UACGAGGGGGGUAAGCGUUGUUCGGAAUUACUGGGCGUAAAGGGCUCGUAGGCGGCCAACUAAGUCAGACGUGAAAUCCCCAGGCUCAACCUGGGAACUGCGUCUGAUACUGGAUGGCUUGAGUUCGGGAGAGGGAUGUGGAAUUCCAGGUGUAGCGGUGAAAUGCGUAGAUAUCUGGAGGAACACCGGUGGCGAAGGCGGCAUCCUGGACCGACACUGACGCUGAGGAGCGAAAGCCAGGGGAGCAAACGGG
rnacentral:rRNA from 1 species